GGGGGAGUAGUUCAAUUGGUAGAACGUCGGUCUCUGAAGCCGCACGGUUAUUGGUUCGAAUCCAAUCUCCCCUU
rnacentral:tRNA from 2 species